GGCGUGGAGUACAGGUCAGAGUGGAUACUUAGAGCUUUGAAGUUCCAAGUUGCCGAGGAGGCGUGUGGGGCUGACGUUUAAAUUGCCGAAGAGAGUGAGCAGCUUUGCUUCAGCAAAUCUUCGCAAACGUCUGCCUUUUGACUUGAGUGGUCAAGUAGACUGGCCGUGGCAAGACUGGCCUACGGCUGAGGUGAUUUGAGCGAGCGCGAGAGGGGCGCGCCAUGUUCGCCCCCCGCUCGGGCUGGGGAUUCGGCUGCCUCUGGCUGAACCAGCUCCGAGUUGGGGCCGGCGGAGCUCCCGGGCGCUGGGCUUGUUUGGCUGGCCCGGCCCGGCGGUACCGCUCCUGUGGGGGUGAGCGCCCGCUCGAGUCCGAGCCCGCGGUCUCUCCUCCAGGCCUCGCGCGUCAGACUCUGAAGGAGUGGGCGCUGCUGGUGAGCCCGUUCGGUCGGCUGCGGGCGCAGCUUCCGUGCCAUUUGGCUGUGAGGCCCCUGGACCCCCUCACCUACCCGGACGGAGACCGCGUGCUCGUCGCGGUGAGAGCAGCGGAGGGCGGGGCGCGGGACCUGGCUGGCCUGCAGGUGAAGUACGACGAGGUGCUGAAGGAGGUAGCCAUCGUGUCUGACACCAUCGACCCCCAGGUGUCCGUGGAGGUGAACGCGCCCCUGAAGUUUGAUUUGAAUAUCAAGUCAUUAGGGUCUGGCUGUGUAAAAGUCCAAAAUAUUGAGUGUGAUAACUGCAAAAUUGAAACUGAGCAGGGGACUGGCAUCUUACAGUCUGUUAAGAGUCAGAAAUUACAUGUUCAAACAAAAGGAGGCAAAGUGAUCUGUCUGGGAUCAGUUUAUGGAAAUAUAGAUAUUCAUGCAUCAGAUAAAAGUACUGUGACUAUAGAUAAACUGCAAGGAAGUACUGUUAAUAUAUCUACUGAACAUGGUUUGCUGGAAGCCAAGUAUCUUUAUACAGAAUCGUCAUUUCUAUCUUCUGCUGCUGGAGAUAUUACAUUAGGAAGUGUUCAUGGUAAUAUAACAUUACAAAGCAAGAUGGGUAAUAUCACAGUAGAUUCAUCCUCUGGAUGUCUAAAGGCCUCAACUCAUCUGGGUGCAAUAGAUGUUUAUGUCAGCCAACUAGGGAAAGUGGAAUUGAAGUCACAUGAAGGCUCUAUUCUUGUCAAGGUCGCAUCUUCUCUUCAAGCUCAUUUACAGUUAUCAGGGAAAGAGGUUGAUGUAAACUCAGAAGUCCAUGUUCAAGAAAUGACUGAAGUUCAUAAAGAUGAUGGUGUCAUAAUUACUGCCUGCAGAAGAGAACCAGACCUUCAGGGAUUGGUCAAGAAUUCUCAUUUUGAACACUCCACAGGUUACUUCACUCCACAGGUUACUUCAUCAGGGAAAAAAAAUGAAGCUGGAAGAAGUAAUUAAAACCAGAUCCUAAGUCAGUACAUCUGAGACUCCAGACACUUAAUGUGCAUGUGCUGUGGUUUCCAGUAAAACACCAAAAUGAGAGAGAAACAGCGUGCACGCACAGAAGCAGGAGAGUGGCAGGAAGGCCGAGAGAAGAAGGCUCCUCACUGAGCAAGAAGCCCAAUGCAGAACUUGAUCGCAAGACCCUGGGAUCAUGACCUGAGCCAAAGGUAGAUGCUUUGGCAUCUGAGCCACCCAGGUGUCCCUCUAUAUGUGUUUUCUAAAUCAUAAAAAUAUCAUUAGGAUUGACACAGCCAAUUCAGGAAACUAACAGUAUUGACAAAAACCAAACUGACACGUACUUCACGGCCCACAUUCAACUCUUGUGUUGUAUACCCAAUACAAGUGUCUGCUGUAUACACAGAAGGACAUGUGCAUGAAUGUUAAGAGAACCACAAAUGAGCCUAGACUUAUGCCCUGCAACCUCAGGAAAAACAGAAUUCAUUUUUCCCAGUGUUGACUAUCUAGAAGGAUUCUGAAUGGUUCUGGUAGGGUCCUCCCCUCCUGGAAAAAUCACAGCCACUGCAGACAGAAUUUAGGAUUGUCUAGGCCUGGAUCAAAUGACUCAGUGGCCAUAGGAAAAUCCUAAUGGUUCCCAAGCAUUUACUAUAUGAAGCCACUGUUCUAAGCACGUUAUAUGUAUGAAAUCAUUUCAUUUACACAACACACUUAUGAGGUAGGUACUAGUAUUUUCCACAUUUCAUAGAUACAGAACAGAGGUAUACAGAAAGCUUGGGGAACAUGCCCCAGUCUCCUAACCAGUAAAGGGCAAACUCAGGAUCACAAUGCAAAUGCCCCAGGACCCAGGCUCCCAAAUGCUAUCAUGUGCUGCUCUCAAGGUGCCAUGAGUGACAGCUCUGCAGAGCCACAAGAGAAAGGGGAGAGGUGGUUCUGAAGCAAAGUAUGAGGUGUAAAGGAAAAACUACCAACAUCUCAUAACACAGUUCAUUACUUUCACUAUUUAACUAAACAUGAAUCCAAAUAUUCAGUAAGCAUCUGAUAAAUGUCUGCCAUGAGGUUAGAGCACACACCAUUUUUCAGAGCAGAGAACAAAAUGGACCCAUUCGCUGUCCCCAAAUGUCUCCCUGACCCUAGAUAACAAAGAACCACAGGAAAGGGU